rnacentral:rRNA from 1 species
CGAACGGGAUUGGUAGCAAUACCAUGAGAGUGGCGCACGGGUGAGUAACGCGUAUGCAACCUACCUGUAACAGAGGGAUAGCCCAUAGAAAUGUGGAUUAAUAUCUCAUAGUUCUAUUAGAUCGCAUGAUUUGAUAGAUAAAGCUCCGGCGGUUACAGAUGGGCAUGCGUGACAUUAGCUAGUUGGUAAGGUAACGGCUUACCAAGGCUACGAUGUCUAGGGGUUCUGAGAGGAUGAUCCCCCACACUGGUACUGAGACACGGACCAGACUCCUACGGGAGGCAGCAGUGAGGAAUAUUGGUCAAUGGGCGCAAGCCUGAACCAGCCAUCCCGCGUGCAGGAUGACGGCCCUAUGGGUUGUAAACUGCUUUUAUACACCAAGAAAAAUCCCCACGUGUGGGGACCCGACGGUAGUGUAUGAAUAAGCAUCAGUUUUAAGUCAGUGGUGAAAUCCUGCCGCUUAACGGUAGAAUUGCCAUUGAUACUGAAAAGCUUGAGUACAUUUGAGGUAAGCGGAAUGUGUAGUGUAGCGGUGAAAUGCUUAGAUAUUACACAGAACACCAAUUGCGAAGGCAGCUUACUAAACUGUUACUGACGCUGAUGCACGAAAGCGUGGGGAGCGAACAGGAUUAGAUACCCUGGUAGUCCACGCCGUAAACGAUGCUCACUCGCUGUAUGCGAUACACAGUAUGCGGCCAAGCGAAAGCAUUAAGUGAGCCACCUGGGGAGUACGAUCGCAAGGUUGAAACUCAAAGGAAUUGACGGGGGCCCGCACAAGCGGAGGAACAUGUGGUUUAAUUCGAUGAUACGCGAGGAACCUUACCUGGGCUUAAAUGUAGGGCGACAGCUUGUGAAAGCAGGCUUUCUUCGGACGACCUACAAGGUGCUGCAUGGUUUACCUGGGCUUAAAUGUAGGGCGACAGCUUGUGAAAGCAGGCUUUCUUCGGACGACCUACAAGGUGCUGCAUGGUUGUCGUCAGCUCGUGCCGUGAGGUGUCGGGUUAAGUCCCAUAACGAGCGCAACCCUUAUCGUUAGUUGCCAGCGGGUCAAGCCGGGGACUCUAGCGAGACUGCCACCGUAAGGUGUGAGGAAGGUGGGGAUGACGUCAAAUCAGCACGGCCCUUAUGUCCAGGGCUACACACGUGUUACAAUGGCCGAUACAAAGGGCAGCUACCAGGUGACUGGAUGCUAAUCUCCAAAGUCGGUCUCAGUUCGGAUCGAAGUCUG